AGUGGUAUAGUCCACCAGGCUAGUUCCUUUUUUAGGCAGUUUGAUUCAUGUUGGCCCCCGUCUGGGUUUCUCCUGAGUCACGGCGAGCCUUGACCCCUCUCGGACAUGCAAAGAGCAGGUGCGGAGAGAGUUCUUCCCCACACACCGAACGCCCCCUGCUGAGAUCUGUCCACACGCACUGCCAGGACGGAAAGAGGAGACCGACUCACAGUCCAUGCUUAUACCUGCAGUCUAUGCAAAUUCUUUUCCUCCUCAACCCAACCUGAGGCUGAAGACAUGGGCUUUUGCUGGGCAGAUGAUUCAGCAGAGCCUCCUAAAAUCCUCCUGCUAUGACAGUGCCUGCAGGGUUCAGAAUUUCAGCCAAUAAGCAAUCUGUUUAGGAGACACACCUCCACAACUCCUCCCCCGAUUCCUCUCAUCUCCCCGCCUCUACAGACCCCUCUCAAGCCCCUCUCAGGCCUCUGUGAGUAAUGUAAGUUCAUUCCAGACAUGCGCCACUGAAUCAGUGCUAAGGUAUUUUCGUAGACACUGUACACUACCCGUAUACUAUCCAUCAAAAGUCUGGGAAAACUUUGAUUUGCCUUAAAAAUGAAAAAUGUUCUUGCAAUUAUUUUACUGUUAAGUAUCAAAAAAGUCUACAAGUAUGCCAAACAGAUAUCCAAGCUAUUAGAUUUAACAGGCUUUAACAGAAGAAAUAAUAUUUUCCAUGCUUG